GCACUGCUGAUGAGUCCCAUUACUAGGACGAAACGGCCGUUCAGUGC
rfam:Schistosoma mattheei strain Denwood, Zambia genome assembly, scaffold: SMTD_scaffold0007629